UGGGGAAUAUUGGACAAUGGGCGAAAGCCUGAUCCAGCCAUGCCGCGUGUGUGAAGAAGGUCUUCGGAUUGUAAAGCACUUUAAGUUGGGAGGAAGGGCAGUAACUUAAUACGUUGCUGUUUUGACGUUACCGACAGAAUAAGCACCGGCUAACUCUGUGCCAGCAGCCGCGGUAAUACAGAGGGUGCAAGCGUUAAUCGGAAUUACUGGGCGUAAAGCGCGCGUAGGUGGUUUGUUAAGUUGGAUGUGAAAUCCCCGGGCUCAACCUGGGAACUGCAUUCAAAACUGACAAGCUAGAGUAUGGUAGAGGGUGGUGGAAUUUCCUGUGUAGCGGUGAAAUGCGUAGAUAUAGGAAGGAACACCAGUGGCGAAGGCGACCACCUGGACUGAUACUGACACU
rnacentral:rRNA from 1 species